rnacentral:lncRNA from 1 species
CUCACCUGUACUACUAUAACCACAUCUCUGCAGUUCCUAGGGAGUUGAGAUGCUUUGGCACUGGAAUAUUCACGGACGCAGAGGGAGGAAGCUUAAUCUGGAUUAUAAAGCCACAUCGAACAUUGGAUGGAGAUGGAGAUGCUGAUGGUCCACUUAAGACCAAUGAAACCUGAGCCCAAGAUGGAUGGCUCUGAUGAUCCCAUGCUGGUAUGAACCAGUGUGAACACCGGGUUGCUGUGGAAAUGACAAUUGGAAACUUUUGAAGCUAG